GGUAGCCCGUCUCGAGCUCGCCUUCCUCGUUCCCCAGAACUCGCUCGUCUUCCUCGUUCCUCUUUGAGGUCGAGCCCUCCUCCGCCUCCUACCUGCUGAUUGGGGCGUUCGAUCCGGAUUCCACCUGCUCUGCUUGGAUUAGAAGAUAUAAAGAAUGGCUGCACAAGACACUCCUAUGAUCACCGAGGAUGACUAUGAGACUCAGCAGAAGAAGCAAGCUGCUGCAGAUGUUCUUUUCAACUAUUCACAGUUUGUUAUGGUGUGCAUUGGUGAGGGAGUUCGCCCGACUGAUCUCCGGUUGCAUCUUAUGAAGGAAAUUUCAGGGAUGCCCACCUCUUUGAAGGAAGAGCCACGGCAGGCAGCUGCCUCCCCAGAUUCUAGCGGUGAACCAUCAUCCUCUGGGACGAUGAAAGAAGACAGGAGCGAAAUCCCAUAAGCUUCAUCUGCAUCUUGCAAGGAGAUGGGUAUCUCAGGAUGGUAGGCUCUGAUUUGUGAUCAUAGAGAUGUAAAUAAGUUAGCAUGCUUGAGGCGAGGCCUGAUUUGGUUUACAGCGCUGAAGAGCACAUUUUCCUGGCGGAUGGUAACGUUUGUGAUCAUUUUUCAAGCCGCUUGCAUUGCAUCUAUUAGUUGGGGUCCAUAUCUUCCUGCCAUAUGGGUAGAUAGCAAAUAAUCGCGGAACAAUACUGUUGUGUUGUCCAUGUCUUCUGUUUAAUCAGGUUGAUUGGAGGUUCUGUUUUGCAUUCCGGGGUUGGCAGGCACAUUGUGGCUUACAUUCCUAGAGCUUAGUUUCAAACCAGUUCAUGGGUGUUGUGGAAUGCAUCAGGAUAUCUUGCUGCUAAGGUUCAUAAUGGACACAAAAUCUGAUUGUGAAGACCCUUUUUAGCUCUCUUCUUUUUUUUGAAAUAUAAGCACCUUCCAUU
rnacentral:rRNA from 1 species